UCUAGAAACAUCCAUCAUAUUAUCCAACGGAACAAAGGAGUACCUCUUUACGUUCUCCACCUUAAUACUCACUCUCUAGAAACAUCCAUCUUAUAUUAUCCAAUGGAACAAUGGAGUGCCUCUUUACGUUCUCUUCCUUUACUUUUGAGAACCUUUUAGCACUAUUCAUCUUCUUAUUGGAACGAUUUAAUAACUCUGGAAGCGAGGUUUGAUCUCUGUGUUUGAAGCUGCUUUUUAUCAGCUGGGUGGUUCCAUUUCAGGUAUGCUUUUCUUUCAGUUCUCUUUAGAGUUUCCAAUUGCACAACUUAGUGUUAUUUGCUUUUGGUGUUAUUUUUUAUUUCAUCGGAUUUUGAAGCUCAAAUUUGCUCGAAGAAAGCAGGAAAAAAACAAGAAAUAAUCUGACUGUUAGAGUUUUCAGCAGAUGUUUGCUGCAAACAAAAACCUUGCACGAUUGAUACUUUCGGUUGCUUCCCUGCAAUAUUUUCUUUGUGCACAUAAUAGGGUGGGAGUUUGUGGUGGUGUUAGAAUUUAUGGUCGUAACUCUAUGCCAAAUAAUGACUUCAAAUCAAAACUUAAAAAGAGUUCUAAGUGCAGAAAGUUUCCUACUUCGAUUAUUCCACUUUACUUCUUCUUCGACUGAAUUGUCUGUCCUUUAUGUUUGCUCUGAUUGUUGAUUGACCUGUCGCCCUUAAAUCGAUUAAACCAGUAAGCUCUCAUAUGUGAGCUUCUUGAGUAUUUCUUUGUCCUUCUUCAGUAGUAAAAUACAUUGAGUUUGUUGUUUCUUUUGAGGUAUAGCUUAAGUGGUACUCUAUUAGUUUGAAACCUCAGUAGCUUUUGCCGGAGUUUGAAACAAUUAGCCAAAAUGGUAAAAGAGAAACUAAAUGAUCAGGGAGCCAUCCCCCAGCCUUCAAGCGGGAUCCAAACCAUUUUGCAGAGACAUCCUAUUAGCUGCCAGGAGACAUGAGCAAUUUAUGCAAGGAAAGCACAGAGCUGGACUCAUGGAACUUACAUCAAGUUUACCAAGUUUCCCAAGCAAAGGCUGGAAAUAGCUUAUGUUACGAUGACUGCCAAAUCUGAGACUGUUUUUCCCUUAAUUUUAGCUAGGUACCGAAGCAAGUUAGAUGUUGGAACACUUCUCUUUUGCUUUAGCCAAAUUGAGAAAUAAAGAAUAUGGAGUUUUCCAGUGUAUGUGGACACACAAAUUCUGGGAAGAAUGUAGGCUACACCAAAGCAGGCAUGUUUUCACAAAUAAGGAAGCAUUUUGAAAUCCUUCUAGCUGGCCAUCUUAGUUCUAGAAGAAUUGAAGAUUGAGCAUAAGUGAUGCACAAUAAUGGCAUAGUGGUUUACUGCUUAAUUCAGUUGUGUUUUGUGCUUGAUGUGUUGUCGAGAAGCACGAGGUGUGCUCUCAGCUCUGCAAGCAAUCAAGAUAUACUACGAUCCAAAUAUUUCUUUUUCAUGCUAUCCACUCAAAGGCUGCUCUAAGGAGAGGAGGAGCUUAUAUCGUCGUCUUAUGGUCUUAUCUAUGAGAACAUAGUCAAUGGCAUCAAUCUCUUUACCUCUGUAUUAAGGAAGUUGUUCACAUCCAUAGCAAACUGGGCUGGAUAAGCUCUAGCUACAUCUUCCUGAUGAAAUGGAACAGAAUAUCCUUCCUUUGUUCCAUGCUGGAGAGUCCCUUGUUUUGUACUUGUUUUGGCACUUGGAAUAGCCAGCUGGGCGCAUAGAGGCAUGAAUGAUCUCGCUGGAGGAUUCAUGAAGUAGCUGGCCGCAAAAGGAAAGCUUUACGGAAGGUAGAGAAGCACAAAGGAUUCUGAGGCCAUUUAUGGCAAGUUCAUUUAUACAGAAUAUACUUUGUUCCUCAAAUGAGUUUAGUAUGAAAUGUUUAUAUAAUCAGCUUUAUGGUAUUACUUCAAUUUUAGUAAUCAUGCUAAAAAUAUGUAUCAUCUUACGAUGUUGAAUAUUUCUUUCGGAAAUCUGUAGUUGUGCAAAUAACGGGAGCAACGUAUAGGGCACACGCUUGUGUUUGAUGGUGUAUGUGAAGAGCAAAAUUGUUGGAUUGAAAUAGUCUACUUUAGGUCAUGAAAGAGUUUCAUCUUGCAAGAGCAUACUUAUGUUCAACUUCAAGAAUUCAGAUUCCAGCCCAAUCUCAUACAGAUGUUGGAGCACCUACAAUCUUUCUACUUGUCUUUCUAAGCAAGCUACCUAUGUAACUUUGUUCCACAAACUAUGUCUUUGUUUUGCCUUUUCUGCAAACUACUCAUGUAACUUUGUUCCACAAAUGAAUGUAAUAUAUUAUGAAGCAUGUCAUGUUAAUAUUUAGUUUAAUCAUCUCUCCUUUA